rnacentral:rRNA from 1 species
UACGUAGGGGGCAAGCGUUGUCCGGAAUCAUUGGGCGUAAAGAGCUCGUAGGCGGUUUGUCGCGUCUGCUGUGAAAUCCCGAGGCUCAACCUCGGGCCUGCAGUGGGUACGGGCAGGCUGGAGUGCGGUAGGGGAGAAUGGAAUUCCUGGUGUAGCGGUGGAAUGCGCAGAUAUCAGGAGGAACACCGGUGGCGAAGGCGGGUCUCUGGGCCGUAACUGACGCUGAGGAGCGAAAGCGUGGGGAGCGAACAGG